AAAGGGAAGCCGCGGGUUAGAAGGAAAAAUUGUGACAGCUAUUCCAUAACUGAGGAAGAAGAAACAUUUUAUCACUGUUGAAAUGGUUCCCACCACUGAAUCAAUAAGUGCUUGAGCUUUUUAUGAUUCUCCUUAGCACAGCCUUUUGAAAGCACGACCCUGAUGCAGAUGAAGCACAGAUGAUGCGGAGGGCACAAGGCGGCCAGGGUGAUGUGACUGCUCCCCUCGGCCUGCUGGUGUCCUGCAAGGCACAGCCAGCACACUGCACCCAGCCACCAGAUCCCAGAGCAGCCUAAUUAUGUGACCUUACCACAAGGUUCAACCCCCUGGGCGGGAGGAAAGGAAAUCCUUUCAGACAUAGCGCGUCAGAGCUUCUUGAGAUCUUUCCCCUUUACUCAUGCCUCAGCCCCACUGGUCUGACAUGUGGGCCUUAUGUAAUUGUGUUCCAAGCCAAACUAAAAGCAAAGUGAUCCUAGCACAUUUGGGCACGGAUCAAACAAAACAGUGUAAUGUGGUUGCAGCACGGACCACAGAUACAUUAUACCACCCUCUUCCACCCACAGCCAUAGCUCCCUAAUAAAAAUCAGAGAA